rnacentral:ncRNA from 1 species
CGGACUUCUGGAGAGACCUUGUUAUCAAAUGCUUUGAUGACAGCUAGAAUUUCCACUAGAGUCAGUAGUGUUUUUAAGGACUUUGUAUUACCUACUGAUGCUAAUUGGGUUAUCUAGAUUAGGCGCCGAAGGGGCAAGGUUGACUUUGUCAACUCAAACUCUCAGGCAAAAGGACAGAAGAUA